rnacentral:lncRNA from 10 species
GCUGGGAGCUGUAGACCGGCGCUGUUCCUAUUCGGCCAUCUUGGCUCGAAAGAGAUGUACAGGUUUUAUGUGGAUAUAAGUUUUUAUUUCCCUGGGAUAAAUGCCCAAAAUGAGAUUGUAGUGUUAUGUGGGUGGACUAUCCUUUUGCUGAGCAGGACUGAAAUAUAAAACAGAAAACCUGAGAGGGAAGAAGUAACGCUAUAUAGAAGACAAUUCAUAAUGUAAAAAGGUCUGCAUGGAAGAGGAUUGAAGAGCCAGAUGACAGAUGAGAGCCAAAAGAUGCUGGCAGAAGACCCAAGACUCCUGGAUCAGAGACAAAAGAUUUAUUACUCACAGCACAGCAAACAGUGGUCCCAUAAGAAUGUCCAGACAAGCUUAUGUGAAUAUCCCUCUUGCAGGAACAAUGGUCAAAAACUGGAGCCAGGAUCUGUCUACUGUAUUCGUGAUAACUUUGCACUUUUUUUCUUAAUGAGGACCUUCAAACUGUGUAAUCUGCUUCUGAAAAAUCUGGAUCCACAUUAUAUCGGGUUUGAAAUAGGAAAUAUACAAACUGAUCCUGGGACAGGUUGUUGUGCUUGAAAGCAAAUAAGUGAUCUGACACUGUUGGUCUUGCACCAAAAGGACACUGGAACCUGCUCUCAGGGGUUCCCACUGGCCUAUGGUGGGACCACCUGAGGUUCAAAGUUACUUCAAUUGACUAAAACCUAUUUUAUAUUAAAACAUCAUGAAAAGGAAAUAGACACAAAAAACAACACUCACUGAAUAUUUUGGAGCUUGCAUCAACUUGUUACUCAGAAUAUUGAAUGUAAGAGUGAAAUCCAUAAGCACUGAUCCUGUCUUUCUCGUGUAAAAUAUAUUUCAGGGUAAAUGACACCCAGUAUGGGUAAGGGAAAGUUCUAUACAGAAAAGUCCUAGCAAAUAAUAGAAAGCAUGAUAGGAUGAGAAAUCACCAGUUUGCAAUGUUAAAGAAAUAAUGAAUCGAUUCGGUGGCCAUCAUUUGAUAGUAAAGAAAAUGGGUGAAAGUUGAUAAAUAACUUUUCCAUACAGGGAUGUGAAACAGGGGUGCUGGCAUACCCUUCCCUCACCAUGUCAACCAUGUGCUUUUCUCAGAAAGAAGUGUUUGAAUAAGUGUCAGACUUUUAAUUUGUUUCUAUCUCUAUUACAUCUCAUAUUAAUUGAUCAGACUUUCUUCUUAGUUCCCUGAGUGAGUCCAUGAAGGGUUUCUUAUCUUCAUAUUCUUUCGUUCAUUUCAAUUGGCAAAGACAUGGAUGAAAAUAGGAGUUUUCUGCAUGUUUAAGCCAAAAAAACUAUGUGGAAGUUAAUAUUAUCUUUUUUAAAAGCUGUUGACAGUGCUGAUUUAUAACCUAGAUGUAGUCUUCUAUACUGUCCUUUAAUUCUGAAUUGCACUUAGAGUGCUAUAGUAUUCAUUUUUUCUUUUACUAAUAUUUCCAAACAACUUUCUCUGAGUCAUAUUUUAUGGCUUAUAACCUGUGAAUCAAAACAAAGAAAUUGUAUUAUAUGUAAUAUCUUUUUGCUUGAAAUUAAAAAAAAAAAAAAAGGAAAAAAAUCCAUAAGGAUACUGUCUCUCUCUCUCUCUCUCUUUUUUUUUUUUCUGCACAGCAAUACUUGUUAAAAUAUAACAGUUUUAAAUGCUGUUUAUUUCCUGUUUGUGUACAAUCAGUUGAGCUAACUUCUCUUCAGCAUGUAGAAUAGCACAUUAAUAACUGGCUCGAAUCUUUGAAGGAAUUUUGUAGAAGAUCUAAGUACAGAAAUCUCAAGAGAAUUGCUUAGGAAUACAGAAUCCUUGUUUUUAUCAAGAUCUUCACUCAGCAAUGUCUACGUGUGGCCUUAUAGCAAUGAUACUCCUUUUGCUCCUAGAGGACACUUUCUCCACCAACUUUGAAUACUAGCUUUGAGAGAUAAUUACAGCUCAGAGCAAAGAGAAGGCUUUGAGAGAACUACUAGGAUAACUGGGCAAUCCCUGAUACAUCACAUGCAUCCUUGCUUAGGUGGUAACCAAACACAGGCAAAGCAGUUGAAACUGUGUGUGGGUUAUGCUUUGUGAGUGGGUCUCAAGUUAACUGCCUUUUGAUGAAAACUAGAUGCUUACUAGAUACUUAUUCUGUCAAAUGCUUACUAGUAAUACAUAGAAAAAUAAACAAAAAACUACCUCAUACAUACCUUAUAAUCAUCCAUACACUUGUAAAAUAAAUAAUCAUAUGCUGUCAUGGUUAAGAGUAUACACUUAGGCAUCUGGUAAACUCAGCUUCAAGACCAUUUCUACCACUAAUUAGUUUGUUAUUGGCCAAAUUAUAUUUAUUCAUGUAAGCUACGCAGUCUCAUUUUUAAGAUGUGAAUGAUGGAAUUACCUGUUCCAUAGAGUUGUUGGGAUGUACCAAUGAGAAAAUGAGUGCUCUGUUACAUAACCAGCAUCCAAUAAGCAGUAGCUCUCAUUUUCAUUAUUAUGUUCACAAUAAAGCAGCCAAUGGAUACUUCCUCCUAGGAAGGAAAAGAACAUUUUGGAUAGGCCUGGCCAGUGUUUACCAAUUUGCCUGCUCAUAUGAUUGCCUAGGGUAUUUAUUAAAAGUACAGAUUUCUGGCCAUACUCUUCACCUUUUGAUCUGAAUAAUCAGGGUACUGGGAGGGGUGUUUGGACUCUCCAUUUGACAAGUACCUUGGGUGGUUUUAUGGUCAAAAUGGUUUUGAAAGUAGCACUAGUGCACAUAACAUUGAAAAUUGAAUGACUAAUGCAUAUCUACUUCCUUAUUGUUGAUGAAAAAACUUGCAGCAUUAAAACAAAAAACAAACAUCAUUCUGCAAUUGCUAUAGCAUAUAUAUCCUGACCACACUCUGUGAAUUCCAGCUUAUUUCUUAUCUUCCACAUUUUGUGGGGUUUUUUGUUUGUUCGAGACCAAGUCUUUCCCUGUCGCCCAGGCUAGAGUGCAGUGGCUCGAUCUCGGCUCACUACAACCUCUGCCUCCCAGGUUCGGUUGAUUCUCCUGCCUCAGCCUCCCAAGUGGCUGGGAUUAUAGGUGUGCAUCACCACGCCCAGCUAAUUUUUGUAUUUUUAGUAGAGACGGGGUUUCACUAUGUUGGCCAGGCUGGUCUCAAACUCCUGACCUCAAGUGAUCUGCCUGCCUUGGCCCCCGACAGUGCUGGGAUUACAGGUGUGUCCCACUGGACCCGGCCUAUUUCCACAUUUUGAGCACAUGUUUUCUUCAAAGUUUUAUUUUUCAAUUUGAAAGAAACUGUUGGUAGAAUAGAGACAGAAAAAGAAAAGUGAAGGGAAAUCAGGAAUCAAAGAUAGAAAAAUGCAAAAGAUCAGAAAAAUGACCGUUUAGACAUAAAAGUGUUUAUUUUCCUUUAUUUCCUGGCCCAAUUCAAAUUUUACAACUUCUUCUGCAUAGCUAAGUACUUAGUGUGUUUAAUUUGUCUUUAUUACAUAUGUUCUUGCAAAACAUACAUUGCUUUAUGUGCAAUGUAUUUUAGUUUAUGUAAAUAAUAUUGUUGAUAUACAUCUUUUCUGACCUACAUUUUUCACGAAAAUACUGUUCUCAAUAUUCAUCUGAAUAACGUGUGCAUCUAUGUUUCUUUUUCUAAUUGCAUUCCACAUUUUACUGAUCCACUGACAGUUUUACACAUCCAGGUUCCUCUAGAUUCCCUACCGGCACAAGCAGUGCUUCAUAUAGAGCUGAGUGGCCUGUGGUAUGAGUUGGGGAUAUGCACACAUUUUAUGCAAGCCGAGUCAUAGGGUCAGUGUGUAUUUACUAAGUCCAUAUACCAGCUUGUAUUCCAGUAUGGCUGCCUAGCUGACACUUCCAGCAGAGCAGAUGCCUCCUAGAGCUGCAAAUUCCCAUCUACAUUUGACUUUUUCUAUUUUUCUAACGUUUGCCAGUCAUGUCUUAUUGUCUUAAUUUGCAUUUUUCUGGGUAUUAUUCACUUUGAGUUUUCUUUUAUGUGAUGGUAAGUUUUGAGGAGUUCCAUUUCUCAAAAGGGCAUUUGCUGAGUAAUUACACUGGAAUCUGAUACCAGCUUCAUGCUUACAAAGAAGCUACAGUGGGUAUUUUUAAAGGUUGUUUUCCCAGGUUGCUGUACCUCUCUUUUCUAUCGGCAUUUACAUCUGAGAUAUUCUUACAUAACCUAGUUUAUAAAAGUUCUUUCUCAGAGAGAUAUAAAGUUGAAAGAAGAGAUUGUAUGAGCACAGAAAGUGCUUCAGGCGUAUCUUCUCCUGGAAAAAAUAAUGAAGAAUGAAAGAGAAUAUGUAAGUUAGGGUCCCAUUAGAGGUGAUAAAAGCCAGGAGAGAAUAAAAGUAUUUUAACUAUGUUGGGUCAUCCCUGGGAUGCCUGGCAGCAUGAAUGCCUUGUGCUAUCACAGGAAUAGUCAGGAUUAAGAAUGAAAGUCCAAGGAAAAGCGUAUACCCUAUCCAUGGUUACCCCGCUCAUAUCAACUUCUAAAAGUUCUUCUUCUUUUUUUUUAAUCUAACGCUAAGUGAGAAAUGACUUUUAGAAUGGUUGAAAAGGAUGUCAUAAUGCCCUGUGGGGAUUAUAAAUAAAUAAAAUUGAUCUCAGUCUCCUAGACGGAAGCAAAAAAAAGUCUGUUCCAUGGCAGUUUUGCAGGCUACUGACCAAGAAAGAAAAUUCAUCUACUAUGUUGUCAAAUUUAUUCCUCCCAUCCAUCAGUUGUCUUAGAGGAAUUUUUUUCUGAAUACCCAUUCAUGCACGAAGCAUUGUCAGUUGUACAUCCCCAGCUAUUUUAAAUUUGACUUCUCUCUAUUUAUGUCACUGCUGCUCCAGUUCAGGAGUGUCCCUCAUCUGAAAUAGCUCUUGCUUUCACUUUCAAAAUCUGCCUCCAGUCCUGCCUUCCUCAAAUCCAUACACCAUGAGGUUGAGGCAGCUAGAGUGCAAGCAUGUUGCUUUCUCUCAAAACUUUUCAAUGGUUGCCCAUUCUCAGCAAAUGGCGUAGACACCCUCACAUGACAUGGUAGACUUUCUGUGACCUCUCCACUUUCUUCCUCUCCCAGACCUCUCCAUGCUAGUGUGACCUAGCUGAUUUUAGCUCCGUGGAAACAUCAAGCUGUCUGUUGCUCUUGAGUCUUUGCUUACCCUGAUCUUUCUGCCUUACUAGUCCUCUUACCUCCUCUUCACUUCUCUGGAUAAAUAAAUCCUAUUUAUUUAAUCAAACUCAACUUUGGGGUGAUCAGCUAGUGAUCCUCCUUCUCACCUGGGCUGAGCUAAAUGUCUUUCUAUGGUACUUCCAAAACACUCAUGAAAAUGUCAAUUACUGGACUUGCUGGCUUAUGGUUACACUUUUCCUUUAUCUCUUUCUGAUGCUAUGGUGUAAAUGUUCUUCAGCUAUGAAAAUAGGAUUUAUUUAUCCUUAUAUUGGUAGUAAAAAUAUUAUUUUAAGGACAGGCAGUAGAAUUCCUCCAAGGAAGAGAGUGGUUUUGGAUUAAUAAAAUACCUUGAUGGUUGAGAGGGCUUUAAGAAGGGGGAACAUCUAAUAUUCAAUUUUACAUCUUUAAUUGUACUGACCAACAAUAUAAUUGCCUUCUAUUGUAUUAGAUCUUCAGUAAAGUAUAUAGUCACACAGUCUUGAGCUGGUAAAUUGGUAAAUAAAUUUAUCAGCUGCUGUUUAGAGCAGGAUAGUAUGGAAUAAACCAUGUGCCCAAGAGUGGCAAAAUUCAGAGAAGGCAUCAGUAACUCACUGGAAGCAGCAACUGUUUGUUCUGGAAAAAGAUAAACUCUUAAAGAUUUUCCAGAAGUAUACGGAGCAUUCAUUAGAUUUCCUACUGUAAGUAAGUUGAUGUUUGAGCCAAUUUUAGUUUGAAAGAUAAGGAAAAGAAUGUUAAACUGGAGGAUAUGGGAAAACUGUAUUUUAUAAUAUGGGAAAGUAAAACAUUAGAUAAAAACUAGUUUAUGCAUAAAAAGGAAUAUAACAAAAUAAUAGCAGUUGUUACUGGCUGCUCUUUAUUUUUUAAUACAUUUAUGUAGUUGACAUAUUUAAUCAAGUGACUAAAUAUUGCUUUUCACCUCAGGGAAAGUUUUUAAGUAAACGAUUUAAAAAUUUUACCACCAUUGAUGGUUUGACAUUAAAAGAUCACAUAUUAAGUACCAAUUGUUAGUGUUUACCAUCACUAUUUUUUUUUUCACUUGGAAAACUGUUUUUGAGUAACCUAUAUGUUAUUGGACAAAGUUUAGGGAGUGUUUACUGCUCUACCUCUUCUGAAUUCUUCAACUAUGCUGAAACCUGACUUUAGGUAAACUAGGAGAAGGAUUUCUCUGAUGCCAUUCACAGCCCUCUUUUUGAAAUCUGUCUCCUUCAUUUCAAAGUCCCUGCAGGCUCCUGUGCUGCCAUGUUGGGAUCUCAGCUUUCCUCCCUGUUGUGUCCAUUGGAUGGUCCAUUACAAUGGCUUUGCUUCUAUUUGCCUCUAGUGAAAACUGUUUAAUCAGGGUCGUAUUCCCUCAGCAUUUUACACUCCUGGACACAAGGUUAUUUGGACAAAAGAAUCCUUGAUAACCUGUUGCUCUUCUUUAGAUCAUUUUCAGUUGACUCUUUCUCUACCUCACUUUCUCUAUCUUGUCUAAUAGGCUGUGUUGGUUUUGCCUAAGAAAUAUCUCUCAAACCUAUGGCUUCUUCCCCUAAGGAUAUUGCCAUAAUUCAGAGACUUGUUAUUGUUUCCUUUAGCUCUUCCAGAAACUAUCUAGCUGGUCUCCUGUCUUCAAGUGUUUAUCUCCCAUUUACAUUUUCCAAACAGCCCCUAGAAUAUUUUUCUGCCAUGUAGAUGGCAUUAUGACAGCACUUUCCUUUAAAAAAAACAUAACUUUAAUGAUACAAUGGAAGGUUUAGAAAUAUUGCUCUAGAAUACAGUCCAAACCUCUCAGCAUAUAAGGUAAGAUGUUUUUUGGUUUGAUACCGCUAUUCUUCUCCAGUAGCAACUUUUGCCAUUCUCUUUACUCUCUCUUACUCUCUGAUGUAGUUGGGAAUUUUGUCCCCACUGAAAUCUCAUGUUGAAUUAUAAUCUCCAUUGUUGGAGGUGGGGCCUGGUGGAGGUGUUUGUGUCAUGGGGGUGGAUCCCUCAAGGUCUGGUGCUGUCAUCACAACAGUGAGUGAGUUCUCGUGAGAUCUGGUCAUUUAAACGUAUGUGGCACCUCUCCCCCAAUUCUUUCUUGCUCCUGCUUUUACGAUAUGACCUGUCUGCUUCCACUUUCACUUCUGCCAUGUGUAAAAGCUCCCCGAAGUCUCCUCGGAAGCUGAUCAGAUGUCGGCACCAUGCUUGUACAGCCUGCAGAACUGAGAGCCAAUUAAACCUCUUUGUAAAAUAAAUUACCAAGCCUCAUGUAUUUCUUUAUAGCAUUCUAAGAAUGGCCUAAUAUACUCCCCAAUUAUUUUGUUUUCCCGAACCACAGCAUGUUCUUUCCUUAUGCUAUUCCCUCUGCCAGGAAUCACCCAUCACUUCAUUCACACCAUUACUGUUUUGCAAAUCUGAGGUUGUCUAGUGUAUUCCAUGUGAACAGUUCUCUCUCAUUCACAGCUCUCUCUGCCAUGGUAAUUCAGCACUUUCCCCUUUAUACAUUCCAGUAGCUAGAAAACUGCACUACUGCAUUGUAGGUAUUUACUCAUAUAUCUGUGUUACCAUUAUCCCCUGAGGCCAUUGAGGAUCUAUAUGUUGUCAUCUCUGUAGUUACAGAACCAGCCUAUAGUAGUUUCUAAAUAAAUAGUAGGGAAAUGAGAAAAUACAAUAUAAAAAUUGACUUAAAGCUCAGAGUUGUUUAGAAAGAUACUUCUCAGGGUAAUCUCAUGUGGCAAUACUGUUCUUUUUGCUAAUAUUUAGGAAUUUGAUAAGGUUUUCUCAUUCUAUUAACAUAUUCAGUUGUUCCCUCUCAUGCUCAGAUAUCUAAGUUUUCCCUGAGCAUUUGGAGAGUUAGCAAACUUUUUAGGUAAAGUACCCAACAAGAAUUAUUUUAGGCUUUGUAGGCUAUCCUAACUACUCACCUCUGCUGUGGUAGCUCAGAAACAUCAAGAGAUAUCAUAUAAAUGACUGGACAAGAUUCUGUUUCCAUGGCACUUUACUUACAAAAACUAGCAGUAGGCCAGGUUUGUACUGUAGGCUGUAACUUUCUGAUCUGUGGUCUAGAUUUAGGGUUUAGGUUUACACAUCUAAACCUUUGGUUCAGAAUAUGGUAGGUUUAGGUUAAUUCAUGUGCCAAACAGUGAGGUGGUGCCGCGCUUUGCUAGUCCAGGAUUUAGGGAUGAACAAUACAUAUGUGCAGUCAAAUUCAUGAUAGAAAUCUUAGGAGCUAUUACAAUGGUUAAUCUUAUUGGUGUUCAGAUGACAAACAUCUUGGUAAAGUUUCUAUGAUAGUCACAAAUCAGAGGUGGUCCGCUGAAAACGUCUAUAUUGUAUUGUUACUUUUGAAGCAAAUCCAUUGUCUCUAGCAAGAAAUACUCUGCCUCUCAGAAACCACACUUGUGUCUUUCAGCGGUGUGGAACUGAGUAUGUACUAGAUUCCUAAAUACUUUGUGAGUUUUCACUUGGAGAAGUGGAUUACUGCUAGAUGUCUCCCCAGGCAGGACAGCAUCUCUGGCAAGGAGACAGCUUGUUAAAGAAUGUAAGGACCAAGUUGGAGAUGCACAAGAAGCAGUAUUAUUCAUUUAUGCUUCUCAGAAACAAAUUUAAUCUCAAGUAGAAUGUAUCCAAAAAUUCUAGUAGCAUUUUCCUUAAUGCAUUUAUGUGGAGGUAAAGCAGUAAUUGUAAAACCCAACAUAGGAUUGUUCAGAUUUCUAUUUCUUGAGCUGAUAAUUUCUUUGCUCCUCUUGGUUAUUUGUGUCCAGUGUUCAUUGUCCUCUCUUAUCCCUGAGGAAAUUGUGUAAUGAUUAUAAAGUGCUCUCCAUAGGCAUUACCUUUGCUGUCAUUUUGCUUCAUGAUUUCUCCUGCCAUGAUGAGUGAGCACCUUUCCAAGCGGCACCUGUCAAAAAACAACUGUUCUUGAAGAUUGCUAUGUGACAUCCUCAAGAACAUACAAGCUGAAGAAAAGCUGUCCUUUUAUCUGAAAGGACAAAUUCAAGGUAGGCCACAACAUUUUAUGAGAUGUAAGCAAGUAUGUGAAUGAGAAACACUUGUAUUUUAUAAACUGUAUUCCUUUUAUUAUGUUGUUAUACUUUGGCACCCUUUCUACAUACCUAUGUUAAAUUAAUCCCAUAAUCUAUAAUAGUCCCAUUGAUAUGGUUUGGCUGAGUCCCCACCCAAAUCUCAUCUUGAAUUGUAGCUCUCAUAAUUCCCAUGUGUCACAGGAGGGACCCAGUAGAAAGUAACUGAAUCAUGGAGGCGGGUCUUUCCCAUGCUGUUCUCGUGAUAGUGAAUAGGUCUCGAGAUCUGAUGGUUUUAUAAUUGGGAGUUCCCCUACACAAGCUGUCUUGCCUGCUGCCCUGUAAGAUGUGACUUUGCUCCUUAUUCGCCUUCCCCCAUGAUUUCAAGGCUUCCCCAACCAUGUGGAAGUGUGAGCCCAUUAAACUUCUUGCCUUUAUAAAUUACCUAGUCUCAGGUAUGUCUUUAUAGCAGCUGGAGAACAGACUAAUAC